UACGUAGGUGGCGAGCGUUGUCCGGAUUUACUGGGCGUAAAGAGCGCGCAGGCGGUCGUUCAAGUCGCGUGUGAAAGCCCCCGGCUCAACUGGGGAGGGUCACGCGAUACUGAUCGACUCGAAGGCAGGAGAGGGAAGUGGAAUUCCCGGUGUAGUGGUGAAAUGCGUAGAUAUCGGGAGGAACACCAGUGGCGAAGGCGGCUUCCGUGGGCCAUCCUGACACUGAGAAGCGAAAGCUAGGGGAGCGAACGGG
rnacentral:rRNA from 1 species